rnacentral:lncRNA from 10 species
GGUGUGGGUUUUUUUUGUUGUUGUUUUGUUGUUUUUGUUUUUGUUUUUUGAGACAGAGUCUCACUCUGGAGCCCAGGCUGGAGUGUAGUGGCACAAUCUCGGCUCACUGCAACCUCUGCCUCCUGGGUCCAAGCGAUUCUCCUGUCUCAGCCUCCCAAAUAGCUGGGAUUACAGGCACCCGCCACCAUGCCUGGCUAAUUUUUUGUAUUUUUAGUAGAGUUGAAGUUUCACCAUGUUGGCCAGACUGGUCUCAAACUCCUGACCUCAGGUGAUCCACCCGCCUUGGCCUCCCAAAAUGCUGGGAUUACAGGCGUGAGCCACCACACGCAGCCACAGGUGUGUUUUUAGUAGAGACGGUGUUUCGCCAUGUUGACCAGACUGGUCUGGAAUUCCUGACCUCAAGUGAUCCACCUGCCUUGACCUCCCAAAGUGCUGGGAUUACAUGAGCCACUGCGCCCAGCCCAAGGCAUUCAUUAAUUUCACAUUUCAUGUGUAGCAGAAUCAAAGAAAGCAAACACAAAUCCAGGUUAAGUGUCUAUUCCAGUGAAGACACAGAGGCAUCCCUUUCCUGGUGGGAGGGGUCUAAUGUUUAAUCUAAGGUGUAAUGUAAUAAACCUGCCACCAGGUAGCUGGCUAGUCUCCUCAAUGACUAGAACCAUAACAGAGACUGAGAGCCCGCAUGCUGUGAAUUAGGCUCACAACAGUGGCGGUCGUCAGGUCCACUUUGAUAAGAGAAGGUUUGUGUUGUUGACAAAGCACAAGAUCUCUAUUCCUGCCACUAUGACCUUUUGCACAAGGCCUGGGGUGUUGGAGAAGGAGGCCCCUGACAUCCGCAGGGCAGGUCAUCUCACCCACUCACCUUUUAUGAAGUGGAGGUCUUUUGAUAAGAAUUCAUAUGGGACACAAACAUACGACCCAGAAACGUCUACCUCCCGUGGUUAUUGAGAAGCAUCAGUGAGCCAAUAUAUCGGACAUGUAUGCCACACAAUUUGUUUUCAAUAACUGACAGUUACUUUUUUUUCUCUGAGAGGGACUCUCGCUCUGUUGCCCAGGCUGGAGUGCAGUGGUGUGAUCACGGCUCACUGCAAGCUCCGCCUCCCAGGUUCACACCAUUCUCCUGCUUCAGCCUCCCCAGCAGCUGGGACUAUAGGCACCUGCCACCACACCUGGCUACUUUUUUUGUAUUUUUAGUAAAGACAGGGUUUGACCGUGUUAGCCAGGAUGGUCUCGAUCUCCCGACCUAGUGAUCCACCUGCCUCAGCCUCCCAAAGUGCUGGGAUUACAGGCGUGAGCCACCGCGCCCGGCCGACAGUUACUAAAUAACACAGUAUGUGCAAUGUAAAAAUAUAACCUAAAAUCACAUUGAAAAAAACACAAUAAAGAGAAAAUAUAAAGUAUACCAUUUGUACAGUGCAUAAAGCAACACUGAAAACAGGCCCUGGCACCCAAAGAAACCGUGUUUAUUUUCUAAGAAAGACUUUAUUGACUUUGGUCAAAUUCAAUACUAGUUACUCUAAUCAGGAAAAAAAAAGAUGGUAUUUUUAUUUAAAAUCAAAGUUACAAUGUCAGGUUCAGUUGCUGUAGUUGCCUAGAACUUUAUGGAUACCUGGUAUUUAUGGGUCUGCGUACCUUGGAUUGAAGUGGAUUCAUGUGACACAGAAAACCACAGAAGGGAAAGUAUUUACAGUUUUUUUUGUAAAGGGAAGUGUUUUGUAAGUUAAUGCUUUACUUUUAUGUGACUUUCUCCCCCUAAUGAUCUAAAACUGCAUGGUAGGCAACUGUGGUCACCACUUCGCAAAAUGGGCCAUAAAUUUCAUUAAUAAUCCAAUUGAUAUUAUGUGGGUCCAGGGUAGGAAAAAAGAUUGCUCCAGGUUUUGUGGAGCUACCAUCCCAUGUGGAUGAAACAGCGUAUUGCUGACAGAGGCACACGUACGGAGCCACAGGGUAAAACACAGAGCUGCAAGACGCCCAUGUUACAUGAUGGGUGAGCAUCUGUAGUUUCCUUCCUCUUAGUCCCUGUGGAAACAGCCUCGAUCCAGAAGGAGAAGGACUGCUCUUGGUGCAUGGGUGGGUGAAGGCUGAACUCUGAGGAAGCAGCUGAGGCUUGAAGGAGAGGCUCUGCGGCCAGGGCGCACGCAGGAAAUGAAGGGACUCAGAUAGGAUGAAGGGUUUCAGGUGACUUUUCAUGUUGAGCACAGAGCUGGUCAAGAAAACUACAAAUCAACACUCCUAGUCUCCUAACAUUACUGGGAGACCCGCCUCCUUGAUAUCUCAUGAAUCGCAGAAUUUCCCAGAUAAAGUAGCUCAUUUAAUUAUCCUCUUUGCUGCUAUCACUAAACCAGUUCAUUUUCCCACAGUUUCCUAGUCUUAUCACAGAUAGUAGAGAUGGAAAACCUAAAUUACACUCUAAUGGAUGAAAUGUCAGUUCGAAAAUCCCAUGAUUUGCAGCACUUUUCUCUAGCAUUACAGAAUUUCCCCUACAAAGCUUCACAGCCAUCAGACUUUCAUCUUAACUCUGGCUUGACACUUCCCUGCAGUUCCCGUUCUACCAUUUCGUGUGUGUGUGUGUGUGUGUGUGUGUGUGUGUGCACGCUAUUGCAAAUGCCUUGGUUGUCCAAGAUUUGUAUGUUUCACCGCCCCCCCACCAUGUAUGUUAUUAUGGUAGCAGUCACAUAAUUGGCUCCCAAUAAACAUUUACUUGCAAUUUGAGAAAAAUU